GUGGUACCUAGGGAUUGGCAAUAAAUGAACAUGUUGCUUUGCCUACAACUGAGUCAUUCUCCCACUAAUGGUUGCUUUUAAUUAAGUUCAGAAGCUCAUAGGAGAGAUGACAUAUUCAAAUACAAUAAACAGAUAUUGAUCCCUGAGUAGUAGUGACCUUGGGAAACAUCAAGAUGACAGUAGCAGUUUAUUUGAUUCUAAACAUGCAGGAAUCGUCCCAGGACUCUUACUGAAAUACAGCAACCGUGGUGGUAUUGGCCCCAAAUAGUUCCCAUGAAUGAAGCUGCCUUGAGCUAGAAAGCUUAAGGCUCUGUUUCUCAGGUCUUUCACGUUCUUCUCCUUGGCCUUAACCCUCGCCCCAUGCCCAUGUCCACCAAUGCUCCCUGAUGCACCAGUGUACUGACAGUCACCAUAUGUCUGUCUAGUGCCCCUGGAGGAUGCAUGGGAGGAGCUUCCUGGUGACACGGAGGAUAAAGAAACUCCAGAGUACACUGAGGUGAUCUCAAUACAAACAGCAAGUGAUUGGGUCUUACAGAGCGUUUCGGACUAUGCCAGUGACGAUGAAGCCUCUUCA